rnacentral:rRNA from 1 species
UACAGAGGAGCCAAGCGUUGUCCGGAUUGACUGGGCGUAAAGCGCACGCAGGCGGUCUUGCGCGUGGGGUGUGAAAUCUGGCCGCUUAACGGCCAGGCGCCAUCCCAUACGGCUCGACUGGAGUGAUGCAGAGGUCGAUGGAAUUGCCGGUGUAGUGGUGAAAUGCGUAGAGAUCGGCAGGAACACCCAGGGGGAAACCAGUCGACUGGGCAUCUACUGACGCUGAGGUGCGAGAGCGUGGGGAGCGAACAGG